rnacentral:rRNA from 1 species
GACGAACGCUGGCGGCGUGCUUAACACAUGCAAGUCGAACGGUAAGGCCCUUCGGGGUACACGAGUGGCGAACGGGUGAGUAACACGUGGGUGAUCUGCCCUGCACUUCGGGAUAAGCCUGGGAAACUGGGUCUAAUACCGGAUAGGACCACUGCCUGCAUGGGUGGUGGUGGAAAGCUUUUGCGGUGUGGGAUGGGCCCGCGGCCUUGCAGCUUGUUGGUGGGGUGAUGGCCUACCAAGGCGACGACGGGUAGCCGGCCUGAGAGGGUGACCGGCCACACUGGGACUGAGAUACGGCCCAGACUCCUACGGGAGGCAGCAGUGGGGAAUAUUGCACAAUGGGCGCAAGCCUGAUGCAGCGACGCCGCGUGAGGGAUGACGGCCUUCGGGUUGUAAACCUCUUUCAGCACCGACGAAGCGCAAGUGACGGUAGGUGCAGAAGAAGGACCGGCCAACUACGUGCCAGCAGCCGCCGUAA